rnacentral:rRNA from 1 species
GAUGAACACUAGCGGCAGGCUUAAUACAUGCAAGUCGUGGGGCAGCAUGUCCCGCAGCAAUGCGGGAUGAUGGCGACCGGCAAACGGGUGCGGAACACGUACACAACCUUCCUUUAAGUGGGGGAUAGCCCAGGGAAACUUGGAUUAAUACCCCGUAAUAUAUAGAAGCGGCAUCGCUUUUAUAUUAUAGCAGCAAUGCGCUUGAAGAUGGGUGUGCGGCUGAUUAGGUAGUUGGCGGGGUAAUGGCCCACCAAGCCGACGAUCAGUAACUGGUGUGAGAGCACGACCAGUCAAACGGGAACGGAGACACGGGCCCGACUCCUACGGGAGGCAGCAGUAAGGAAUAUUGGUCAAUGGACGCAAGUCUGAACCAGCCAUGCCGCGUGGAGGAUGAAGGUCCUCUGGAUUGUAAACUUCUUUUAUCUGGGAAGAAAUCCAUUUUUUCUAAAAUGGUUGACGGUACCAGAUGAAUAAGCACCGGCUAACUCCGUGCCAGCAGCCGCCGUAAGAC